rnacentral:rRNA from 1 species
GAUGAACGCUGGCGGCGUGCCUAAUACAUGCAAGUCGAGCGAACGGACGAGAAGCUUGCUUCUCUGAUGUUAGCGGCGGACGGGUGAGUAACACGUGGAUAACCUACCUAUAAGACUGGGAUAACUUCGGGAAACCGGAGCUAAUACCGGAUGAUAUUUUGAACCGCAUGGUUCAAAAGUGAAAGACGGUCUUGCUGUCACUUAUAGAUGGAUCCGCGCUGCAUUAGCUAGUUGGUAAGGUAACGGCUUACCAAGGCAACGAUGCAUAGCCGACCUGAGAGGGUGAUCGGCCACACUGGAACUGAUACACGGUCCAGACUCCUACGGGAGGCAGCAGUAGGGAAUCUUCCGCAAUGGGCGAAAGCCUGACGGAGCAACGCCGCGUGAGUGAUGAAGGUCUUCGGAUCGUAAAACUCUGUUAUUAGGGAAGAACAUAUGUGUAAGUAACUGUGCACAUCUUGACGGUACCUAAUCAGAAAGCCACGGCUAACUACGUG